AACAUUAAGUACUUCUUGCCUCUCCAUUCUCUUUCCUACAAUUCAAUUAACUGAGUCAGAAACAUAUUACGGGAUAUUGCCGGUUGAUCGAUUGCUUUAAUUAGUUGUUGGUUAGUAAGUCUACCGCGUGUACACGAGUACGAGCAAUGGAUGUUUGUGAAGGCUAUGAGAUACUGGAAAUCAAGGAGCUAAUUGUUUGGGUCACUUGACUGAAUUGUAACUGCACCAUUUGAGGCGAUUUUGCCCUGGUUUUGCUGGGUGGUAAGGUGGUUUAUGGGAGUUGCUGAGUUGGUGGAAGAUUGGGGCAUUUGCAUAUGGUUGGUACUGAGGAGGACUAUGCUGCUGGAGUGGGAAGCAGGAGAGCAACCGUUGGGAUCUUGGAUUUUUUUUCCCCGAGCAGAAUGUGGACUUACUACCUUUAUAUUGAAGCUGAUGUAACACGUCAGAAGUUCUCCACUCCUGCAUAAAUGGACUGCAUCAUCAACCUGCACUGUUAAGGUGAAGUUGAAGAAAAGGAAAGAGAACACUGAUUCUUCAGGAAAAACUGGAUAUGGAGCUGCAAGAUCUAAAUGAAGGACUUCGGGAUGGUACUAUUGUAAUUGUUCAUAUGCGAAUUUACAACUUGUCUGGCUAGACCUAUGUUCUGAAUAAUCUUCAUUCCUCCAUCCAUUGUAACUUCAUGUUCAAAGGUGCUUAUGAGACGGAAGUUAAACGAGAUGGGACAAGAAAAGAAGGCUUUUCAGGUUUUACUUGCUUAAAUUUUCUGAUCCAUUAAUUUUUAGAGAAACAUAAUUGCAUAAGUAAGCAGAUUUACUUGCUAUCCAUUGGAAUAAAAAAAUUGAGCGGAGAUAUGAUUUUACUGUUCAUGUUCUUUCUUUUCUAUUUGUAUUGAGGUUCAUGCUCACUCAAAUAUAUCAUGUUGUGGGACUGUCUGAUCCAUGCAUACUUUUUUACUUUCAGUUUGUUUUAUUGAUAGGCAACGUCGUAUUUUUUUAAUCAAAAAUCUCUAUGGGGUUGGUGAAUCUGCGUUCAUUGGAUGAUCUCUUCUUUAAUAUAAUAAGAAUGGUCCUUUCUUAGAAU